GUUGCAAUAGUUGAGGCCUGACACUGAAACUGGAACAAUACAAAGAAGAUUAGCAUGGCCCCUGUUCAAGUAUGACACAUGAAGCCAUGUGGUGUUCCAUUAAAAA